CUCCGCCGGCCGCAGUUCCCCCCUCACACGGGAGGCCGCGGAGGGAGGCUGAGGACCCGCUGCGCAGCCUCCUUGUCCCUCCUCAGGGUCGUGGUGGACUCUCCGUCUGUCCAGCAUGUACCUUUCACCCGGGAAAGGAGUUACUGCGAUGCUGAAUGUCUUUGGAACGCAGAGCAGCACAAAGUGGUGCCUAACAGCAUCCGCAUGGAGAACACCUCUCCUGGGAGAGGCUGAGAUCAGAAGUGAGCUUCUCAAAGCCAAUCUUCACAUCACUGGGACAAAUCAGCUCUGAUGUUUCAAAGCUCACCAAAUGACCCUGCGCCACAUUUAGAGUCUUAUCCCUUACUUUAUAGUUUCAGAAAGAAUGUUUUCCACAACUGAGUUGAUAAUUAAAAACCCUUUUAUGAGGAUAAAAUAUAUGUAACAUAAACAUUCUGACCAUUUUUCAGCCUACAGUCAAGUGGCCUGGAAUCUAUUCACAUUAUUGCACGACGGUCACCACCACCCAUGACAGCACUCACUUCCUAACUGAAUAGAGGUUCUCAACAUACCAAGGGACAACUCCCCGCUGCCUCCUGUCUUGGUCUCUGGACGCCCUUGUGUUCCUGCUCUGUCACUCUGCCCACUCCAACUCCCACCGUCUUUAAGUAUAUUUAUACAAUGUUUGUUGUUUUGCGACUAAACCGGCUUCACUGAGUAGAGUAACUUGCGGACUCAGUUAGGCGGCCCUGUGAUCCAGAAUAUUCUUCCAUUUUAAAAGUUGAUGAUAUUCCAGAGUCUACAGAGGCCAUCACGUAUUGUUUACAUAUUCUUAUGAUUGCAGGUGUUGUUUCUAUGUUGGAAUGUUUAAAGCAUGGUUUUAAGAGCAAUGAUGUGGAGAAGGCUGUUUGACUCCCUGCAUGUUGAACGUGUGUGUGUGAGAGUGUGUCUUGUGUGUGUGUUGGAUCAUGUGAUAUUUCAUGGUAGAAUAUGUUUACAAGUGUAGUUUGGAAAAAUACAGAUAAUGGAGACGAUGCAAUAUUUGAGAACAUUGUGACUGUUGUAUCUAAAAAGACUUUGCAAUAACCCAGGUUAUGACAAGUGACAUCCAACUCACAGGCCCCUAUUAAGGAUCCGGUGAGAAACAUGACAUCCCCAUAAUAUUUCACAGAGUCCCAUGGUUUGGCUUUCUUUGAUGUACUUGCAUCCACACAUGUCCAACUGGAUAGUUCAACAGAGGGAGUGAGACUUUGCAUUGCAUUUAAACCAAAGACUCUAAACACUCUGUCAUGAUAAAUCACUCCAAAUUCAGCACAGUUUCUCGCCUUAACAGAACUUAUCCACCACGGGCUACUGAAAUGUUUACUGUCUUCUCCCACUAUAUCUGAAAAUACUAAUUAUACGUUUUUCAGUACAAAUAAACACCAAAGGGCUGAACGAGGCAUAGCUAUGGGUCACGAGGAUCUGGAUACAGUAAAAUAUUGGAUCAUCCUUCAGUGUGAUUCUUGCAUAGGAGACAAUGCUGUCCAAGAUGGACAUGACCACGAAGCAACUCAUGAGCAGCAGGAUUGUCUGGGUGGCCCUCAGUUCUGGGGAUAACACUGGAGACAGGCUGGUGCUAUGGAGAUGCCGGGACUGCCUCUUGUGCCUGCACAGGAGAGCCACCAUGUAUCCACUGGAGACGGCCAUGAUUCCUAUAAAGGAGACUUCCCUGAAGGUCAGCAGGGUGGACAAGCUAUGCCGGAGGAAGAAGGUCAUGGGAAUGAAGGAGCAGGAUUCUGUAACGUACAUAAAGUUGUCUGAGGUCCAAUUGCGGGUAGCAGCAAUGGAGAUGAAGAGGUGGCUACUGAAGGAUGAGUAGAUGACCCACAGGAAGAGAAGGAAACACAGGUUAUGAUGUGAGGGUUUAUGUUUGAACCUUGCCAAGCAGGAGCCCCUGGGGCUGAGGGUGAUGGCUUGGAGGACACUCAGCAGGCAGGUGGCACAGAUGGAGAAGCCCCUCAUCAACCUGUACAGGUAGAUGAGCCAUUUACACGUCAGGUCAUCCCACCUGCCCCCCUGAGGUAUAAAAAUGUCCGAAGCUAUGAAGCCAUUGAUGAGCAGAAUUACCAGGUGGAUUAGGGCCAGGAGACCAAUGGGCAGGUCAGAGGGCUUAGGUCUGUGCCCAGUAAUGUGCAAGGAGAUGUGGACCAGAAGAAGAAGGGCGUUGGCCAUGACCCCAACGCCAGUCACGGUGUACACGGUGUUUCUUAUGUGAAUGUUACUGUACAGUCUGUUGGCUUUGUUCAUCUUACAAGGGAAAGAAAAAUAUUGUGACCACAGUAACUCACAAAAAUGUCUUUUUUUUUUUUUUUUUGCAAAUCUGACCUCCUUUAUCAAUCUCAAAUGAACACCACUUCCAUGAAGAAAAAAAGAAGAUUCAUCCAACUGUAUUUUUAUUCCACAUGAAAAUUCAGUUCUGGUGCUGGGCACAGUGGUGUCUGCCUGAAAUCCCAGUGACCCCACACACUGAGGCAGGAGGAUCACAAGGGUGAAGCCAAUCUGGGCGUCUUAGUGAGACCCUGUUUCAAAAUAGAGAGUCAAAAGGACCAGGUGUAACUUUGCUGGUGCACUUACCCACCAAGCAGCCCCCAGCACAAAAUUUAAAAAAAACACCAAACUAUGUUCUAUUCACACCCUGGAGAACGCAUCUCCACACACCGCCUUCUCUCAGUACCUUCCAAUCUCACUGGGACCUCCACAGCGUCAUAUAUAUUGAUACUUCAGUUUUCUUGUACAUUAAGAAUUGUCAGCCAGGUGCCGUGGUGCACUCAUGUAAUCCCAGUGGCUCAGGAGGCUGAGAUGGGACAAUGGCAAGUUCAAUGCUGACGUCACCAAGUUAGCAAGGACCUAAGCAACUUCCUGAGACCCUGUUGUCUCAAAAUGAAAAAUAAAAAGUGUCAGGGAUUUUUUUAAAAUGGGGUCAUGUCAUGGCUCAAAAGAAUAUAUUUCCUUCCUAUUACCUCAUGUCUGAGGUUGUCUGGGGCAAGACAGGAACUUACUUGAUUUGCCUUUUCCUGAUCUUGUUGGUCAGUUGCAUAAUAGGAGGUCUACAAAUUGGGCCAAAUUUCAGGGGGGUUGAUUGCAAGAAACUGGAAGUAAGGCCCUCCCAAACAUGAGUGUCCACAGACUAGACCUGCAUGGAGUUACUUCAUAUCUGCACCAUUUUAACUCUGGUUUAUUUCCCACCAGACCAAAUGUUUGUAAUAUAUAAACAAGAAAAUAUUGGUGUGAACUCAGAUGUCGGACUGGUUGAAGUUGCAAGUUGGAGCUACCAUUUACAAUAGCUUCUUCUUAAGCACCCUAGGAUGCUGAGGUCCAGUCAUCUCAAUUGUCCACAUAAAGAGUCCUGUUAUGUGGAUCCUGCAGAGACUAUGUGGGAAAAAGUAAAGUGUGCCUACCAACCUUGGAAGUGUUCGUGGCACAUAAUGAGCUCUCCAGAAAUGUUGGCUUCUAAUCUUAUUAUCAUACAGUUCUUCAUGCACAAGACUUGGGAGAAUCAAUGCAGCUCUUUUAAUAACAGAUCAGAUGUGUCCCUGCCUGAAAAGAAAGAGAAGAAAGAAAUUACGGCAGGACGUGGGGGUGCACGCCUGUAAUCCCAGCAGGUCAGGAGCCUGAGGCAGGAGGAUGUGAGUUCAAAGCCAGCCUCAGCCACUUACACAGGCUCUGAGCAACUCAGCAAGACCCUGUGUCUAAAUAAAAUAUAAAAAUAGGGUGGAGAUGUGUCUCAGUGGUUAAUUGCUCCUGUGUUCAAAUUGCAGUAAAAAAAAUAGAAAAACCAACAUAGUAGAACAUUUGCACUAUUCUGUUCUGAGGACUCGAAACUUUAUGUCUGUCCUUGGAAUCCCCUGAGGUGGCUACACAUGUCACAUUGCUGUUAAUCCUCUAUCCAGAAUAACUAGCCUAUGUUAGAACAUUCUGGAACUAUUGCCAAGAGCAUAGUUAUUUUUUCCUUUUCAAGACUUUACAAUCAGAGUAGUAAAUAGAACUACAUUUAAAACAGACUUGGUGCUAUUUUAAAACAGAGUUGGUGUUUCAAGGUUUUAAUUAAAGGACACGUGUCCAGCCCAUUCCUGAAAGACAAACUCCAAGAUGUUAUCUCUAUUACAAGUUCAAGGUGACAUUUUUCUGGAAUCAAAUGCCCAAGACUGAAAUUUAUGCUGGAAGAUUUGUUGAAUGAUCUGCUAGAACAAUAUUUCUUGGAGAGUGUGUGCAAUGCUUUUUUAGGUUUCGUACAUGAGUAAGAAUAUGCAGUGUUUGUCUAAAAGGGAAAUUCUCUACACCAUUAGGGGAAAAAGUUCUUCUUUUCCCAAAUGUGGUGAUCAGGAAAAAUAAAAUUUUAUUCUUUCCCUUGUUCAGUAUAUUCAGGUUUGCUACCAUAACAAGCCCAGAAAUGACACUAGGAAGAUCUUCCACAAGGCACAUAUGAUCACAGCACAGAUGUUAUUCCCUGACAUCUUUAUACAUAAAAUUACAUACAUCUGUUCUUAUAACAACUGUUUCAUGUAGGUAACAUAUAUACUGAUGAAGCUUUAAAGAAUAACAUAAACAUCUGUGUUUAAAUAUGAUGGUUUAUGUACAACAUUUUAAAAUAAAAAUUUUAAAUUUUAGUUCUAAAAUUGUGUUCUGUUAUACCAUUUGUGUGAAAUGGAGACUUUGCUUUUAUUGUGUUUAAUACAUGUUAAAACAUGUGCAAGGCAAGCACCCAGCAUUGUAAAAUCCUUUCAGUAACAUGUUUAAAUCACCUGCAAAUCAGACCAUUCAAGGACACGAUUUUCAAUCUUAUUUCAAAAUAUGUAGUCGUGCAAACAUGAAAGUUUUGGAAAAGUAGGAAUGAGAAGAAGUCAGGAGUUUUCAAAAAUAUUCAGAAAUUAAGACCCCAGUUCAUUGUUGCUUUAAAAUGACCAGAAAGUCUUAUUUGUCUGAAGGCAAAACUGCACAGUAGCAGCAUGAAAAAAUGAGUCUCCUUUCUCCAGAGCAUGAAGGAAUGUUAGCAAACACUUUCAACGACAAAAACAGUGUAGACCCAGGAGCAAUUAUAUAUUUCUGAAUCUAUCCAGCUGUAACCAAAGAGUUUAUUUUUCCUACCAGAAACUGAACCCAGGACUCCUCAACCACUGAUACACAGCCCGAGCCCCAUCCUCUUUUUUAUUUUGAGACAGGGUCUCACUAAGUUGCCCAGGGCCUUGCUAAUUUCCUGAGGUUGGCUUUGAAUUCACAAUCCUCCUGCCUCAGCCUCCUAUACCCUGGGAUUCCCGUGCCCAUCCUCCAUCUAAAUUUCAGAUCACAUCAUAAUGUAUCAGCAAAUCAUACAUCCAAUACAGAAUACUGAUUUCACUUAAAUAUCAUACAAUAUGUAAGUGAUUUUUAAAAGUAUGUAGCUACAUCUGUGUUAAUCGCUCAUUGACAUUAGAAUUUGUUCUGGUGAAUAAGAACCCUUUAUAAAAAUGAGCUAAAAGAAAUUGUCCAGCGUGUCCUCUCCCAGCCAUCGCAUCUGCCACUCACACCUGUCUAGCACAGAAGAGCCCAGAGGCUCAGGACCAGGAUAAAACUUUCUGCUUCCCUGCAGGGUAAUCAAGGGGCCUCCUAACCUGUGGCUCUUAGCAAUAUGAUGGUAUUCGGUUAACACACUUUUCAAAGCAAACUACAUUAGAAAGACUGCACCUUUCAUAGAGAGGGACAUAAGUCACAGGGGAAGUAACGUGGCCCAGGUGCAGUGGUGCACACCUGUAAUCCCAGCAGUUUGGGAGGCUGAGACAGUAGGAUCACAAGAUGAGGCCAGCCUCAGCAACUUAAAGGGACCCUAAGCAUGUUAGGGAGACCCUGUGUCUAAAUAAAAUGUGAAAAGUUCUGGGGUUGUGGUUCAGGGGUCAAGCACUCCUGGAUUGCAUCCCUGGUACCAAAAUAAUAAUAAUACCAGCAGCAGCAAAGGAGCACACUUUGAUUCACGGUUGCUAUGUAGUUCAACUUUACCACAAUUCCCAUGGCUAAAGUAAGAUGGACAAGUGAAAUCUGGGAGGGAGACUCAUCUUGCUUUAAGUGGGUUAGGAUCUCAGGAAAAAUUGGGCAGGAAGUUCUUCUCUGUGGCAGAGAUGUAGCUGGGAAACUCUGAAGAGCACUAGGGAGAAACAGCUUGCACAUCAGGGAGGGCACAGCCACCCACAGCCAGGUGCCCUGCCGGGUGCAGAGCCACUGUGACAUAUAUAAGGACCAAGAAGGAGAGAAUCCUGGAGAAUAUUUGGGUGAAUGAAUGGCAGCCAUUUCCAGAAAUUAAGGCUAAAAAUAAUCCAUUGUUACUGAAAUUUGGAAGGAUUUAUGAACAGCUCAGGGUUCACACUUACAGAUAGACCCUAAGAAUAUCUUAAAGUCUGUAUUCAGAAUCAUUAAAAGAAAAAUUAGUCUUCUAACAACAGUAGGGAACUGCAAAUUAGAUUCAUCACAGACCCUAAGCUGUCAUCACUGGGAAACCCAAACUUACCUACCUGCAGGAGGAUCUGUGGCCCUGAUGAGGUGAGUCAAGUCCGGUUUGCUUUAGGAAGAAGAAAAGCUCACUUUUUUUCUAUAAGUGAAUUUGCAUGAACUAGGACCUGAAAAUACACACCAGGACAAAAUGAGUUUAGGAUGUGGGGAAAAGGCACAAUCAUACAUUGCUGGUGGACUGCAAAUUAGUGCAGCCAAUCUGGAAAGCAGUAUGGGAAUCCUUGGAAAUCUGGGAAUGGAACCACCAUUUGACCCAGCUAUCCCUGUCCUCGGUCUAUACCCAAAGGACUUAAAAACAGCACACUUUAGGGACACAGCCACAUCAGUGUUUAUAGCAGCACAAUUCACAAUAGCUAAACUGGAGCCAACCUAGAUGCCCUUCAGUGGAUGAAUGGAUAAAAAAAUGUGGCAUAUAUAAUCAAAGGCCUUUCAGACACUUUCAUUAUUAGGAAAAGGGCAAAGAGAACUUUUAAGUGAAUAAUGAAAAGAAAGAAGAUUAAUGGACACAAAUAGUCUUCUUAUCUAGCUAUGGACAAUUCUAUUACCUUGUCAUUGGGGAAGGAGAAGGACACCACAAUCAGAUUCACUGGUCUUUUCCUGGGAUGGUGACACAGGACCACUGUCCUCUCACUUGAAAUUUGCUCAUGGGCAGAGCACCCACUAUGAAGUGGCACCAUUCAUUUCUAAAUUGUGUUAUUAUAUGUAAUAAAAGAAACAUUGUAUGGGAAAGUUUGAUAGAUGCCUGUGGCCAUUGAGGUUGCCCUCAUUACCUUCUGGGCUAUAUAAAAUUAUGGUUUUUAAUUCCUCAGAGUCUAGUAGUCAGAGAUCAGUAAUAUUCUAUUUGUCCAGGAAGGUGAGAAAAGGAAACCUGAGCAUAUUUAGUAUAAAGCAGGCAGGCAACUUAUUACAUCCCUGAUUAUUGGUUUAGGAGUAAAUAGCAUAUCAAACAUGGAAACGCACAUGUAACAUGAGCACUGCUAUAGUUGCUAGAAGAAAAUUAAACAGAAGCCUGAGAUAAUCAGCACUUCCUAUCAAAAAUAGCACCUAACUUUCUGUGUCUCAAAGGAUGACGCAACCUAGGAAGAUCUCCUUCCUCAUAUUUCACAGAGCACCUUAGUCUUCUUAAAUAUAGGGGUGAGAGCUGGGUGUCUCAAGCUACCAAAAACCUCACUCCUAGACCCAGUUUGCCCCUUGCAACCUCCUCCUACAAGCUUCAGGUACUUACUAUCUCUGUGGAACAGAGAGGCACUUACCUGGAUGGAUGCGGAGCACUUGGUGCACCUGAGCAUAACCUGCAUGGUUCUAAGGAAAAGAGGCUGUGAGCUCAUCUCUCUGCAGCCUGCAAUUUUAGUGUCUCUACUAAGGUGACAAGAUCCCACUGGGGAGCACAGAACUAUGGAGUCCCCAGUGGAACAUUUCGCUUAGUCCCCUUGAUUUGAUUUUGUUCUGGAUAACAACCAUCUGGGGAGAGGUGCUCAAAAUUUCCUAUGAGUUCCCUUGACAAAAAAAAGUGUGUCCCAAUCUUGUAGACAACUCCAAGUUCUCUUACUUGGAUUCAAAGUUCAAAUUAACCCAUACCCUUUCCACAUGUUAUGAUGCCUGGAUUCUGGGGAUGAGAGGUCCCUAGAUCCUCCUGAGGCUCUGUAGAUCCUCUCCCUGUGACGUCUGAUGGAUGCCCUCUUCUCCACUCCAUUUUCAUGGGGACCACCUGGUUUCCUGACAUUGAGGGAGGGGAAGGGAAUGGGUAUGAGGUUAUAAAUGAUGGUGGAAUGUGAUGGACAUUAUUUUCCAAAAUACAUGUAUAAAGACACAAUUUGGUGUGAAUAUACUUUGUAUACAACCAGAGAUAUGAAAAAUUGUGCUGUAUAUGUAUAAUAAGAAUUGAAAUGCAUUCCGCUGUCAUAUAUAAAUAAAAAAUAAUAAAUAUUUAUUUUUUAAUUGCAGUUGGACUCCAUACCUUUAUUUUUAUUAAUUUUUAUGUGGU